rnacentral:lncRNA from 1 species
GCCUUUAGUAUUCAGUUCCUAUUAGUACCUUUUACGUUUGUCACAAUGAACUACGGUAUUUUCUGUCUUCUGUAUGCUACACUUGCUGUUCCUGUCGUUUUUGGUUAUCCUCCUGGUUCUUGUGAUGGAUACACCAAUAUAACUGAAUCGUGGCGCAACUUUAAAUAUUAUGGCAGUAUAUCACCUGGCUAUCCCAAUGAUGAUGCAAAACUUGUUGGCAGUUGGUGGAGGUUUACUGGUAUUGGUGGUGACGUUGUUGUGAAUGCGUGUGUGGGCACUUGGAGUGGAGGAACCAUAUCAGUCAUCCACAUUCAAACAAGUGACCAUCCAUCUGAAGAGUUAGAGACCCCUUUACGAUCAAGGGCUUACGGCAAUAUCGAUACUUACUGCAACGAUGUUACCAUGCAAGUUGACAUUGUUCUCUGCCCUGGAGGGUUUUAUAUUUACAGGCCACUGAAUCACAAAGCCCCAGAAAUGGGGUACUUAACAAUGCACUCAACCUGUAGACCGGACAGUUGUGGACCUUCAACAAUAUGCACCGUAUUAGGGGGAUGUGUUUGUGUUCCUGGACGCUUAUUAUCAACUGUAUUUCCACCUACUCAAGACUCAUUUGAAUGUGUUGAUAUUGAUGAGUGCCUAGCGCCUAUUUGUGGACCUUUUGCCAACUGUACCAACAUCAUUGAGUCCUACUCAUGUGUCUGUAUGGAAGGGUAUGAACCAACCAACCCAGGUCUUCCAAUUAAAUCUGACAACCCGUGCACAGGUACAAAGCAAGUUUAAAAUAUGCUCUAAUAUCUCAAGCAUAAAGUAGUAUUGUUUUACAAUAUUUUCCUUUAUAC